GGUUGUGGCUCAGUGGUAGAGCACCUGCCAAGCAUGUGUGAGGCCCUGGGUUUGAUUCUCAGGACCA
rnacentral:tRNA from 1 species